UACAGAGGGUGCAAGCGUUGCUCGGAAUUAUUGGGCGUAAAGGGCAGGUAGGUGGUCUUAUUUGUCUAGGGUGAAAUCCCGGAGCUUAACUUCGGAAGUGCCUUAGAAACGGUAAGACUAGAGUCCUAGAGAGGUUUGUGGAAUUCCCGGUGUAGCGGUGAAAUGCGUAGAGAUCGGGAGGAACACCGGUGGCGAAGGCGGCAUCCUGGACCGAUAUUGACGCUGAUGCGCGAAAGCCAGGGGAGCAAACGGG
rnacentral:rRNA from 1 species